AUUGAACGCUGGCGGCAUGCUUUACACAUGCAAGUCGAACGGUAACAGGCCGCAAGGUGCUGGCGAGUGGCGAACGGGUGAGUAAUGCAUCGGAACGUGCCCAGUCGUGGGGGAUAACUACUCGAAAGAGUAGCUAAUACCGCAUACGAUCUAUGGAUGAAAGCGGGGGACCGUAAGGCCUCGCGCGAUUGGAGCGGCCGAUGUCAGAUUAGGUAGUUGGUGGGGUAAAGGCUCACCAAGCCAACGAUCUGUAGCUGGUCUGAGAGGACGACCAGCCACACUGGGACUGAGACACGGCCCAGACUCCUACGGGAGGCAGCAGUGGGGAAUUUUGGACAAUGGGCGCAAGCCUGAUCCAGCAAUGCCACGUGCAGGAAGAAGGCCUUCGGGUUGUAAACUGCUUUUGUACGGAACGAAACGGCUCUGGUUAAUACCCGGGGCUAAUGACGGUACCGUAAGAAUAAGCACCGGCUAACUACGUG
rnacentral:rRNA from 1 species